rnacentral:rRNA from 1 species
UACGUAGGGGGCAAGCGUUGUCCGGAAUUACUGGGCGUAAAGGGCUCGUAGGCGGCCAACUAAGUCAGACGUGAAAUCCCUCGGCUUAACCGGGGAACUGCGUCUGAUACUGGAUGGCUUGAGGUUGGGAGAGGGAUGCGGAAUUCCAGGUGUAGCGGUGAAAUGCGUAGAUAUCUGGAGGAACACCGGUGGCGAAGGCGGCAUCCUGGACCAAUUCUGACGCUGAGGAGCGAAAGCCAGGGGAGCAAACGGG